rnacentral:rRNA from 1 species
UCGAGAAUCUUCGGCAAUGGGCGAAAGCCUGACCGAGCGACGCCGCGUGGAGGAUUGAAGGCCUUCGGGUUGUAAACUCCUGUCGGAGGGGAAGAAAUUUUGACUACCCCCUCGGAGGAAGCCCGGGCUAAGUUCGUGCCAGCAGCCGCGGUAACACGAACCGGGCAAACGUUAUUCGGAAUUACUGGGCUUAAAGAGUCCGUAGGCGGCACGGGAGGUGAGGUGUGAAAUCCCACGGCUCAACCGUGGAAUUGCGCUUCAAACCGCCGUGCUUGAGGGAGAUAGAGGAGAGCGGAACUGAUGGUGGAGCGGUGAAAUGCGUUGAUAUCAUCAGGAACACCGGUGGCGAAAGCGGCUCUCUGGGUCUCUUCUGACGCUGAGGGACGAAAGCUAGGGGAGCGAACGGGGAUUAGAUACCCCGGUAGUCCUAGCCGUAAACGAUGAGUACUUGAUUGGAGGGCCCUCCAUAGCCCUCUAGUCGGAGCGAAAGUGUUAAGUACUCCGCCUGGGGAGUAU